UGUGCAUUGCUGUGUGUCUGCCACCGCUGCCUGGCACUCAUGGGGCCGUGUGUGUGUGUGUGUGUGUGUGUGCGCGCGCGUGCAUGUACAUGUACGUAUAAGCGUGUGCUGUGUGUGAGCCUCCUGGGCAUGGGUGGGGGGGUGGCAUUGCGGUUGCCAAUUUAGUGUCCAACCAGAAGGACAGAGGGAUGGAGUGGAAGAAGGAGGGGAAGGGUGUGGGGCCUGGGAGGGGAGAAGAGGGUGCAUGAGUUGCUUCAUUCUGCCUGCUUGCGGGCAUUGGCACUGCAGCUGCCAUCCCUGUGCCCAUAGAGAUGGGAGGAGGUGAAUGGAGGGGGUCAGCGGCAAGAGUCCCAGUGCUCUGGGAGGAAGGCACGGUACACAGGAGCUGUUGGCAUCACAUCUGUCAGGCCAGUGCCCAGUGCUGGAGCAGUGGGGAAUGGCGGACCCAGGAGGCAGGGAGGAGGGACAAGAAUUGUUGCUGGUGUUUCUGUCCUUCUAGAAGCUCAGCUCCAAGAAAUGGCUGGACUUUGAGGUGGUUGGUUCUGUUCCAGCCUGGGGAAGUAAAGUGGUGGAGAGUAGACAGAAGUGCCAAGAAAGUCCCAGAGCUGGCAAGGAUGGGCUGUGCCACCACUGACCAGGGAAACUUGUUUGGGCUGGCAACAUGGCCCUUUGUCAGAGCACUGAAGGAGACAGCAAGGGGAUGGGGCAUGAAGCGGGGAGGUUGGCACUGUGCAUGGAGACUGGCACGAGCUGUGGCAUGGUGUAGAACAGGCAUGGGUGAUAGUGCCUCCUGCCAAUGUGGUUGGAAGGAUUGUUGUGCCAGGCGUGAGAAGGGAGGAGGUGCAAUGGGGGGCACUUUAUUUGAGAGAACAGACUUUUUUUCCUGCCAGGACCUCCUUCCCAUUUCUUCUUAGGCAUAAGGAGUGGAAUGACAGACAGAAAGCAGCGUGAGGACACAAAAGAGGAAGCGCGCCAUUGCUCAGACCCCAAGGAAGCAGCGUGGAGAGCGGCUGCCAGUCCUGCUUGGCCUCCAGCCAGUUCCCGCUGAAGAUGGCCGUACCCUCUAGUCUGGUCUGUAUGUGCCACUGUCGCAGGCGUGGGGGGGCAGGGCUUGCUUGGUGAGCUGGGCUCUAGAGUAGGUAGGGCACCUUUCUGCCGAUCCCAUUUGGACUCUUCACUCUAACAAGUAAGGUGUCUGAUUUUUCUUUCUGGUGCCUCCUUUCGCCUCACCCCUCUUUCAUCUCUCCAUCACCACCUGGGUCCUACUGCUUGGCACCCAACCAGCUAGAUGCUGCCACACUUGGCAGCGCUGCACUGGCUUGUGAACAGUGCCUCAUAUCCUGGCACUGCGGCAAACCCAAAGCCGCCCAACGUGCUCACAACGCCACUUGGUGGCAAGGAGAGAGGGGAGGCCGCACACAAAGUGGCAGGCAUUGGGUGGAGCCCUGUGCUAGGAAGUGGCCAGGGAGGAGACCCUUAACAGCUGGGCUGAGACAGCAUUCUUUAGACCACCCCAGCUCUGCCAUUCUCCUAACUAGACAUCCACCUCCCUCUUUUCCUUACUGCCUCCAAGAAUGGAUUUACGUGGUACUGUAGUGUGUUUGAAUGGCCAUGCCAAGGGAAACAAGCACAGAGGCACACAAACACCAGCUAUAGCCACACACAAGGCUUCAGGCCAAUGGACUGCAUACCUCUCUGGGCAGCAAGAACAGGAGGAUGAAAUGAGAGCCUGGGGAGAGAAAUAUGCCGCUAAGUUGUCACAGAAAUGGGCUGGGAAUGUAGCCCAAUGGUAUAGCACUUGCCUAGCAUGCAUGAGGCCCUAGAGCCAAUCCCCAGCACUGGGAGAGAGAAGAAAAAGAAAAGAUACCAGAAGAGAUUGAAAGGGAUAAAGCAGGAAGGAGAGAACGUCAGACCUUGCUGUUGGGUAUUGGGGUUAUAGUAACUGGUAUAAAUUACCUUGUACCUUGUGAUCAGCUGAGCUAUGGUUGAGAUGAACUCAUUCAUAUUCAAUAACUGUCCUAGAAAGAUGGAGAGGUAUUCUAAGCCUAGAGAGGUAGGCAAGUGUUUGGAAGACAAUGGCAUUUGGGACUUGCCCAUCCAGAAAGGAUGCAAGGAGAUUUUGUGGUUAGGAAUUUCUCAAUGACAUCUCAAGUGGAGUUGGAUAGAGUUCCAUAUCUUUAAAAUCUGUGCUGGAAGGGAGAAUGAGGAUGAGCAGUGAACUCUGGGAGAGGGAAAGGCCCCUUGGAGAAGAAUCCCCGUAUCUGUGGUAAUAGAGACUGUCCCUUAGAAAAUUUAACCUUGAGCUGUCUGUCACCUGAAAGAGUUUCCAGUUGGAUUGGCUUUCCCUGCUUUCUGGGUUUAAAGAAAAAAAGAGGCUCUAGGUCAGUGGCCUGGAAGAUCUUCUGUGGAAAAUUUGGCUCUGGGUGAUGUCAAGGAGGAGGCUAGGCCUGUCCAGAGGGAAGCGAAGCCGUUCAUUGCCCAUGUGGGACUGAGCUGCUUGGGGCUGGGAGAGUUCUGAUUUCAGCAUCUCUAGAGUGGAUGGCAGCUUCAGAAGAAGUAAGGUGGUUUCCACAGCAGAGGAGAAAGCAGAAGGCACUCAGCCAAGGGGGUGAGUGGACAACAUUUAUAUUUUCUCUCCUGUUCAAGAGCAGCCACCACAAGUCAAAGACACUGUUAGAUUUUUAAUAUAUUGGAGGGUGGGUGAGUGUCCCUGUAAUGAAGACAGACCUGAGGGGAAGCCAGGACACUGUGCAGGAUCCCCGGGUGUGUGUAGCAGGGCUGGUCCUGGCUGCUGGAAAAGUGUGGCAAGUUACAGGUGUAUAUGAGAAUGAGGUCUCUUAGUUGGUGAUUCUCAACUUCCAGAGAGCAUAGAUCACUUUAGCAGGAGUUUCUAAUUCAGUUGAUCUGAGGUGUGGUCCAGGAAUGGGCAUUUCAAACUAGUUCAGGUGACCAUGAUGCUUGUGGACAAACUCUGAGAAACACUGUCCUAAGAGAUGGCAUUCACUUUGUAGGACAGUUGAUCUAGUCUGGAUUUCCCUUGCCUUUGCUUCUUCUUCCUCAGCUGUAUUUACAUCCUUAUGCUGGCAUGUUUGGAUGUGUAUGUUUGGAGUGUGUGUGUGAAUGUGGUAUGUGUUUUGAAUGGGAGGGAUUGUGAAGUCCAAUCAGUCACAUGUCACUUGUUAGAGUAAUGAUUUUCAUUGGCAGUUCUUAUCACAGAAAAAUCCCUUUGGAAACAUUGUGAAAGUCAUUCUUCCUUUCACCCCCAUUCUCAAUGGCUCUCUGCCCAUGUGUUUCUGAAACCUUAUCAUUGAAAACCAUUAGGUUAGGAGCAUUGCCAGGAGAUUGUUCUCUGUGGUCCAGUGAGAUUUGUGUGGAUUUUGUGUCCGGUACAGGAUAGGCCCUAGUCACAUGGCUUCCUGAAGGCUGGAUCCUGGGUGGUGAAGUAGAGUCAGCAGAGUACAGGGCCAAGCUUACUGCUCACGCUAAGCAAAUUACAGAGCUGCUGCUGUUUGAGCAUUUGGUGGGGAUCCAGAAGUGAGCAGUGUGGGGAUUCUUCAAGCUGAGUAGACAAGGUGCAGUUUUGACAUCAGGGAGGGACUGCAGUAUGGAGCAGCAUUGAGCCUCUGCUAAUUACUUGCUACAGUAUUUUAGCUAUUUCUUGUCAAAGAAUGUGAGUAUGGUUGGAUAAGGCUACAUGGAUGGGUUAGGCUUCUUUCUGGUCCACCUGUGUUACUCAACCUGCUUCUCCACUAGAUAGUAGCUAUGCACAGCUCUGUGGUCAGGGAACUGAAAGAAACACUAGGCUCAGACUGACAGGGUAUAAUGACAAUUAUCCCGUGUCUGUGCUUUGUGCAGAGGGCUGACUGCACUGGAUGGUUACUCAGUUGGAUCACCCAGGGUGUCACCCAAUGCCUUCCUGUGAAGUGUAGUCUCUCCCAGAAGGGGCUUUCACUUGGGAUUACUUCCCAUCUUUCCCUACACUUGAUGGACAGUGGUCUAGGUUUGCUACCAAUGGUCUCUCUCAACUUUUGUUUCAUUUGAUCUUUUCCUACUGUAUCCAAACUAUAAUCAUAUAGGCCCUGAUGCUUGGUCUGCUCCUUUUUUUGUAGCAUGUGUUCUCUUGGUAUUAUCUGUGUCCUCUAGAAAUGAUACUCUCACAUAUACAAGUUUUUGACUAGUGUCUGAGAGAAAUGACUUCCCUUCUCCCCACAUGCCAGGCUCUUUCUGUAACACCUGUCUCAGCCCACUUUCCCCUGAUUCAGGGUGAUAUAAGAAUUUUUCUAAGCCAGGUGUGGUGGUACAUGCCUAUAAUCCCAGUGCUUAGGAGGCUGAGGCAGGAAGAUCACUGUGAGUUCAAGGCCAGCCUGGGCUACAUAGUGAGUUCAAGCCCUGCCUGAAAUAUAUACUGAGACCCUGUCUCAAAGAACAAAAUGUAAGAAUCUUUCCAAAACUUUCCUCUUAAUGUCUUUUCUACCUCUCCUCCUUGGACUCCAGAAUCAUUUACUUGGACUCCAGAGUCAUUUAAGGUCCUUUUCCCCAUUCCUUACCUACUUUAGUUCGAGGAAAACUAGCAUGUAUUGGCGAGUGUUUCUACUCUGUGAGAGUAAAGUAUGAUCUUGGGACAAUCUCUCCUCCUCUUCUCUUCUCUUCUUCCUCUCUCUCUCUCUCUCCCCCCUAUGUCUCCCUCUCUCUAAGGGAUACCUUGCUAGCACUUGCGUGUAUCCCUGGAGACCUUCCAGCUGGGGUCUGCUUCUCUUUCUGAGUGUGGGUUGGCCUAUUUUGCUGGUAUACUUAUAGACACAGAGCUCUGUAUUUCAGGUGUGAAUAUCUUUACAAGGAUGAAUGAUUGGAUGAACAUGUCUUAAAAUUGGCCAGGAUGUGGAGAUUUGGAGGAAUAAAUGAUCUGGUCUAUAAGUCCUGCAAGUGGAUGAGGAACAAAUAGAAUAAGCAGCAACCUCUACACCACAUCAAAGCCUGCACUUACCAUCUUCCCCACAAGCACCAUUCUGGCCCAAGCCAUUACUUCUGUCCUAACUACCUACAUGGACCUCCCAUCCCUACUGCUGCCCCUCCAGAAGGUAAGUUCUGUGAAAGCAAGAACUGUCAUCAGCAUAGAGGAUGAUGCCUGCCACAAUCAGUAAGAGUCUUGACGGAAUGAACUCUGGGAGAUAACCUCAGAUUUUCCAAGCCCUGAAGAGGUAAGCUGUGCAAGUCAAGGUCUUCUUGCCAGAGAUAGGCCACAGCUAACUUCCCCUGCAUGCUUCCAGAUCCAUCUCUGGUCACGAACACAUGUAAUAGGAGUUUCCCUGCCAGUUCAAAGACAACAGCUUUUAUGUUGCCUCCCUCCUUCCCAAAGAGAUAAAAAGAAAAAAGUCAUAUUAUUCAUAGCUAUUGAAGCACAUACAUCAAGGUCCUGGCCCCAUGGUAAGGGUUUAUCAGUGAUCUCAUUUAAUCUCAUAGCAACCUUAUUUUACAGAUGAGGCAGCAAAGAAACAGGCUAAGAGAGCCGCUGGUGUUCGUUAGGCUCCAAAGUGGUGAAACCAGAAAAGGACUGGCCAGACACAAUAAGAGCACCAAUUGGGCCAGGGAUUUAGCUCAGUGGUUUCGCUGCCUGUUGUGCAAGCACAAGGACCCGAGUUCAAUCCCCGGUACCAAAACAAUAAUAGCACAAAUAAGCCUCCAAAGGAGAAAUUGGGAGCCCUGGGCUGCCUCCCAUCUGAGUAGGCUCGCCACGGCUCCUUUGCUUCUCCGAAACUUUUUGCCACUACCAUCUCUCAAACUCACCAGUUCCCCAGGCCUCCACCCAUUACUUCUCCCAGCGUCCCAAGUACUUGCCUCCAUCCUUUCUCCUUGUGUAUCUGAGCAGAUCUAACUUUGGCACUUUUUUUUUUUUGGUACCAGGGAUUGAACUCGGGACCUUGCCCUUUUGAAGCAGGCAGCAGAACCACUGAGCUAAAUCCCCAGCCCUCUGGCCACCUUUAACCUCACCUCCAAAUUCCUAGAUUUAGAAUGGGUCCUUGGUAUGGCCUCAUCCAGCCGGCAGACCUCUGUCCUCCAUCCCUUCUCCAGGAGGGGGUCUAGCCAGGCAUGAAGUCACAGCUUUUAAGGAGCUCUGAGAGGGGCUGGAUUACCAUGCUAAUGAAAAUGCAAAUCAGGACCCAGGAGAGGGUGGGUGGGAGGGACAGGCAGGGAGUCUGAAAACCAAAAGGUAAGUGAAGAAACUGGACUGAGGGAAGUAGCUUCCUGGAAAAAGGAAAUCAGGGACCCUAAAGUUGUAGGAGAUAGGUAUUCUUCCUAGGGAUCCUUGGUGGUGGGAGGGGAUAGGUGCAGUGAUUUGUGAGUGUCUUAGAUUGCCCCUGUCCUUCCUGAGGUUGGAUCCCACUGCCUUCCACCACCUUACCUGGUGCAAGAGCGGGGACCCUUGCUACUGAAGGCUGAGCAUAGUGCGUGCUCUCUCUCAGUGGGCCUGGCUGCUGUCACCAGCUUCUUCCUGGUUCCUAACUGAACUCUACCUCACAGUUCAGGGGAGACCUAGGUAGACUGUGCAGUAACUCCCAGAUGCUCUCUCCAAAGAGUUUAGUUCCAGGACUGGAAGAAACAGCUGAUAGAAACCAAAGGAGCUUUUGGCCAGCUUGUGAGAGACCCUGAUGGGCGCAGGGUAGGUUGGCAGCUGUUUAAAAUUGCAAAUCUCUUCCCCCUCUCCCAACUUACCCCUCCUCUGCUUCAGGAAAGAAUUUCAAUUGCAAAUUUAUCUCUGCCUCAGUGCGUCUCCCCCAACACCUCACUGCCACAAAUUCACCCUCCCCCUUUCUUCUCAGUGCUUCUCCCAUCACCCGCCAUUUAUUACUAAUCUUUUGCUGCAGCAAUUACUUUUUUCCCUCCUUCCAUUUCCCCCUUCCAUCUUUUCUUCCUUUCCUCCUUGAAUCCCCACGUCCCUUUCUUUACCUUUCCCACUUUGAACUGGAGAUGACACAGAAACAGGCCUAAAAGUAUUCCCCCAUCCAUGAGCCAACAAACUUGUUCACCCUCAGACCUACUGCCACGGCUCUCUUUAGGUCCUGCUUUCUUCAAGGGCAUCUUCCUCCCUUGGGGCACAUCUCAGGUGUGAGUAAAGGGAGAAGACCCUGCCAUCCCUGCCUCUUAAGGAAAGGAGGAAGAGGACAGAGGGCGGGUCCCUGGAACCAGGGACUGUCCGAAGGACCUGGGUAGAGGCCAGGGCUGGGGGCCUCUGUGGAGGAGAGGGGCUGGGGAGCCAGUAGGCAGUGGCGGCAGUGUGAUUAGAGUGGAGAUUGAUGUGAAGGGGUGCCACAGACAGCAGAGAGAGUCAAUAAAACGAGAGGAUCACAUUAGAGGCGACAGAGAGAGCUUUAAAUUACAAGGCUGCUGCCACUGAGGGGGAUGGGAGGAGGGAAGCCUGGAGCCAUGGGAGGCGGAGAGUUCCGAGGGCGUAGUCAUCCCGAGGUGAAUCUGCCAGCUCCAAAAUGGCUCUUGGUCUCCAGAACUCCCCAGCUACCCCUUCAUUCUGUUCUCCCUCCCUAAUGCUUCAUUCCCUCACAAGGGUGAAGAGGACAGGAGGGGGAACUCUGCAGAGACAGGUUAUUUUUCUUUUUUUCAAAUUGCCUUCUUCCUUCCUUGGCACCCAGAUCUCUGGUUAUUCCUUUGGAGGAGAAGGCAAGGAUAGAAGUGCUACCGUCAAGCCCAGCAGGAGUUACUGCCUCACAAACAAGCAAACAAAAUACAGAGUCGCAGUGACUGAACUACAGAGGUGAGCAGAGAUAUGGUACUUAAAAAAAGGAAGAUACCAGGGAGCGAUCCAGGAGGCAACAACAUAUACACUAGGACCAAGAGAGUGAGAGAGAGGUGUCUUAUGAGAGAAACAAAAGGGCCUGGAUGUGAAGUUGCAGGAGCAGAGGGAAAGCGGAACAGGUGGGCUCUGAGACCCAGCAAGACAGAGGACACUAGAUGACAUUUAAAGGGAGAAUUACUGGAGCCCAGGGGGCAAGGGCAAAGGAAAGACCAAAAAAUGAGUGGAGAGCAUGUGCCCUUCCCAGAGAGGAGUCAAGGUGGGGCUUGGGUUGGCUGCAGAACCCAGAUAAAGCUGGGUGCGGGGGCUGCUUCCUCAGGAGCACCGACAAGACCACGCUCCCCUUGGUACAACCCCCUCCUACCUCUGACCAGCCAGGAUAGGAAGAGACACUACUGCUCCCCAGUGGUCACCAAGGGAACAUCAAGAAGAGGGCUGACCAGAUGCUGGACAGUCUGGUUUUCUCCUCCCCAAUUCCCUUCCAAAAAAUUGUAAAGCAAAACCUGCCUCUCUCCUUUUCUCCAAACCCAACUACAGGGAAAAAGCUUACUUUUUUUUUAUUGAGACAGGGCCUAACUAGUUCAUGCUGGCCUUGACCUCACUAUAUAGCCCAGACUGGCCUCGAACUCGUGGCAGUACUCCUGCCUCAGCCUCCCAGAGUGCUGGGAUUUAUAGGCAUGCAUCACCAUGCCCAGCUCCCAGCCCUUUUUAUUUUACCCUAAGACAGAAUUUUGCUAAAUUGUCCAGGCUGGACUCUAACUUCCUCUGAUCCUCUGGAUUCAGCCUCCAGAGCACCUGGGAUCUGCCACCUUGCUCAGCAACUGAGCUUUAUUUCUUACAGUAGUAGAACAUGGACUUUGGAUCCAUGCAGACCCAGGUUCUGUCCUGGCUCUGCCAUCCCUUGGAAAGGUACUGAUGAAAACGCAGCUUCGGGGCCGGGGAUUUAGCUCAGUGGUUCCGGCGCCUGCCUUGCAAGCACAAGGUCCCUAGUUCGAUCCCUGGUACCAAAAAGAAAAAAAACAAAACAAAACAAAAGAAACAAACCCCCCAAAACCGCAGCUUCCUUAUCUGGGGAAAUGGGAAUAAUGAUACUGCCCUCCAGUUUUAAAGACCAGAGUAGGAAAGGUGUGAAAAGUGCCUAUGUUGGGUGUCAGUGAGAUAAAUUCUUUUCCUUGUCUCCUCCCCUGGACCACAACAAGAUGGAUGCACAGAGGCUGCCACCUUUUGCUUUGCCCUUUCUUGAUGGGCUCAUCCUCUGAUCUCUGCCCUUUUCCUUUUAUUUUUUUUGAGAUAGGGUCUUGCUAUAUACUUCAGGCUGGCCUUGAACUCACUAUGUAGACCAGACUAAGCUUGAACUCAUAGUGAUCCUCCUAGUGAUCCUCCUGCCUCAGCCUCCCCAGCACUAAAAUUACAGGCAUGAGCCACCAUGCCUGGCCAGAUUUCUGCCCUUUUCAAAUAAGAGUAACACAGGCGGACAGAAUUUAAAUAUAGUCUUCCCAACAGUACAGUUGACUUCUUACCUAGCCUUCUUCACUGCUGGGCCUAGAAACACUCAUUAUCCCAGGGCAGAGUGGAAGUUUUGCCUAGAUUUCCAUAUGGACUGAGUACAGCAGAAGCUAACACCUGGAUCAAAAUUAUGGCCUCAUUAAAUAAAAUGUUAUAUCCAUACCAAAAAAAUUAUGGCCUCAGCUGGGCAUAUGGUACACACCUCUAAUCCCAGCACUGGGGAGGCGUAGGUAGGAGGAUCACCAAGAGUUUAAGCCCAGUCUGGGCUACAUAGUGAGUUCAAGGUUAGCAUGAACUACAGAGUGAGCCCUUGUCUCAAAAAAAAAUAUUAUGGCCUCCCCCUGCAUUUAAAACUAUCAUUUUCUUUCUAAAUCUUGUUUUCUUUCUUUGUUUUGUUUUUUUUUUGGUA